rnacentral:rRNA from 1 species
AUUGAACGCUGGCGGCAGGCCUAACACAUGCAAGUCGAACGAGUGGCGGACGGGUGAGUAAUGUCUGGGAAACUGCCCGAUGGAGGGGGAUAACUACUGGAAACGGUAGCUAAUACCGCAUACCAUCGGAUGUGCCCAGAUGGGAUUAGCUAGUGGGUGGGGUAACGGCUCACCAAGGCGACGAUCCCUAGCUGGUCGGAGAGGAUGACCAGCCACCCUGGAACUGAGACACGGUCCAGACUCCUACGGGAGGCAGCGGUGGGGAAUAUUGCACAAUGGGCGCAAGCCUGAUGCAGCCAUGCCGCGUGUAUGAAGAAGGCCUUCGGGUUGUAAAGUACUUUCAGCGAGGAGGCGUUACUCGCAGAAGAAGCGCCGGCUAACUCCGUGCCAGCAGCCGCGGUAAUAC